GGGAAUGUGACUCAGUGGUAAAGCGCUUGCCUUGCAUGCAUGAGGCCCUGGGUUCAAUCCUCAGCACCA
rnacentral:tRNA from 1 species